rnacentral:lncRNA from 1 species
AGAACCAGCCGUUGUCCCCUGGCAAAAAGAGGCCCAGGGCUGAGCCCUGGGCAAGUGUCUCCCGACAUCGCUACCCCUCCUCCCUUUAUUAGUUUCCCUUUCCCAACAGAAACCAUUUCCUUCUGCCACCAAAACUAGGUUGCAUCCAAAAGUUUUUCACAAGCUUAAAAAAGAAAAACGAAAAAUUGACAAGUAUUACACAGAAGAGCCCACAAAAGCUUCAGCAACACCAAGGGCGAAGAAGCAGCGUCAGAUCCAGGUCUGCAGGACACACCAAAGAACUCCUCCAAGUCACACAAGGGAGAAAAUUAACUUCAUUGGCUUCUAUCAGGAAAGCUAUUUUUUUUUUCCUCUUCUUUCCUGCAAGUUUCCCAAACCCCAUGACUCUGAUUUCCAGGUCAGAGACUAAGGUUUUAUUUUUCUUACUCUGUAUACUUUAUAUGUGGAGAGUCCCUGAAGGAACACUGUGAUGGGCUGAUUACUGUGAGCCAGUUGUGGGCCAGACCUGGCCUCAGGUGCUGCAAAGGGAAUUCAGUCACCCCUGUGCAGUGAUCUGUGAGCCCCAAGUCAGAUCCAACUUUUUCCUGAUAGACAGCACCCUCCUCCUCCCUACCAAGAAAUAGCAGGGUUGGAGGUAGUGACCCAAUAUUCAAGAGGUUUGAAAUUCUACAUGAGAUAUUUCUGAGUUAACUCCUAAAUAGCAGUUUCCUUAAUCAUGUGGAAAAUAAGAACACUUACUAAAGAGACCAUUGGUUUAAGAGAAAUGGAAACUUAUGUCCACGUAAAAACCUGUAAAUGAAUGUUCACAGCAGCCUUUUCAUAAUAGCCAAAAAGGGAAAGCAAUCCACACGUCCAUCAACCAAUGAAUGGAUAAACUUAACGUGGGAUAUACGUGUAAUGGAAUGCUAUUUGGUGAAGAAAGAAAUGAAAUAUUAAUACAUGCGUUAACAAGGAUGGACCUUAAAAUAUCAUGCUAAGUAAGAGAAGCCUGUCACAAAAGAAUAUGUAUUGUACCAUUCUACUUAUAUGAAAUUCCUAGAAUAGGCAAUUCUAUAGGGACAGAAACUAGACUAGUGAUUGGCUAGAGCUUGGGGAGAGUUUGGGGAGCCUGGAGGAUGACAGCAAAGUGGUGCAGAGUUUCUUUUUAGGUUGAUUAAAUGUUGUAAAAUUAAUUGUAGUGAUGGUUGUGCAACUUUGUGAUUUUGUUAAAAACCAUUGCAUUUUGCCCUUUAAAUGGAUGAAUUGCACAAUGUGUGAAUUAGACAUAAGUUUAUUUACAUAAUUAAUAUCUAUUUAUUGAUAUAUAACUCAUAUAUCAAUAAAUAUAUACUAUAUAAAAUAAUUUUAUAUUUAUAUAAAAUGUGAAUUAUAUAUAAAUACAUAAAUAAAACUGCUAAAAACUAAAAAAUAUAUACUUUAAAAAAAGGCUGUUCGUUUCUUUCACAUUUUCUGAGCACAAUCACUUUGGGAUAAAUGUGUCCAGGCUUAAAAAGCCAGAUUUUAUGGGCUAACUAAAAUGGAAAUGUGAAAAACUGUGUUUUUUUCCAUAGGAGGAGAGAGUCUGAUUUGCAGGUACGUGCAUACCCACAGCAGUCAUACUUGUAAUUCUUGGAAACUUUGCUGAAAGUUUUUUCCUAGCCUGAAAUCAUUAAAAUAUGUUGAAACAAUGACA